rnacentral:piRNA from 1 species
UGCCAUGGGGAAAGCAUUUCUGUGGCCACC